rfam:Myotis lucifugus cont2.13215, whole genome shotgun sequence.
UUUUUAGGAUAAGUAUGCUCCAUGCCAUAUUUGGGACAUGCUUAUACUAAAA